GGGAAGUUGGCUCAGUGGCAGAGUGCUUGCCUCGCAUGCAUGAGAACCUGGGUUCGAUUCCUCAGCACCCCA
rfam:Dipodomys ordii contig_23011, whole genome shotgun sequence.